rnacentral:rRNA from 1 species
UGGGGAAUUUUGGACAAUGGGGGAAACCCUGAUCCAGCCAUCCCGCGUGUGCGAUGAAGGCCUUCGGGUUGUAAGGCACUUUUGGCAGGAAAGAAACGUCAUGGGUUAAUACCCCGUGAAACUGACGGUACCUGCAGAAUAAGCACCGGCUAACUACGUGCCAGCAGCCGCGGUAAUACGUAGGGUGCAAGCGUUAAUCGGAAUUACUGGGCGUAAAGCGUGCGCAGGCGGUUCGGAAAGAAAGAUGUGAAAUCCCAGAGCUCAACUUUGGAACUGCAUUUUUAACUACCGAGCUAGAGUGUGUCAGAGGGAGGUGGAAUUCCGCGUGUAGCAGUGAAAUGCGUAGAUAUGCGGAGGAACACCGAUGGCGAAGGCAGCCUCCUGGGAUAACACUGACGCUCAUGCACGAAAGCGUGGGGAGCAAACAGG